ACGUAGGUGGCGAGCGUUAUCCGGAAUCAUUGGGCGUAAAGAGGGAGCAGGCGGCCGCAAGGGUCUGUGGUGAAAGACCGAAGCUAAACUUCGGUAAGCCAUGGAAACCGGGCGGCUAGAGUGCGGAAGAGGAUCGUGGAAUUCCAUGUGUAGCGGUGAAAUGCGUAGAUAUAUGGAGGAACACCAGUGGCGAAGGCGACGGUCUGGGCCGCAACUGACGCUCAUUCCCGAAAGCGUGGGGAGCAAAUAGGAUUAGAUACCCUAGUAGUCCACGCCGUAAACGAUGGUCACUAAGUGUCGGGGGUCAAACCCCGGUGCUGCAGUCAACGCAAUAAGUGACCCGCCUGAGUAGUACGUUCGCAAGAAUG
rnacentral:rRNA from 1 species